UGGGGAAUAUUGCACAAUGGGCGAAAGCCUGAUGCAGCAACGCCGCGUGAGGGAAGACGGUUUUCGGAUUGUAAACCUCUGUUUUCGGUGACGAACAAAUGACGGUAACCGAGUAGGAAGCCACGGCUAACUACGUGCCAGCAGCCGCGGUAAUACGUAGGUGGCAAGCGUUGUCCGGAAUUACUGGGUGUAAAGGGAGCGCAGGCGGGAGAGCAAGUCAGUGGUGAAAUGCAUGGGCUUAACCCAUGAACUGCCAUUGAAACUGUUUUUCUUGAGUGGAUCAGAGGCAAGCGGAAUUCCGAGUGUAGCGGUGAAAUGCGUAGAUAUUCGGAGGAACACCAGUGGCGAAGGCGGCUUGCUGGGGGUCUAACUGACGCUGAGGCUCGAAAGUGUGGGGAGCAAACAGGAUUAGAUACCCUGGUAGU
rnacentral:rRNA from 1 species